rnacentral:rRNA from 1 species
GAAUUGACGGGGACCCGCACAAGCGUGGAGCAUGUGUUAUUCGAAGCAACGCGAAGAACCUUACCAAUCUUGACAUCUAUCUGACAGUACUGAUAAACGUAUUCUCUUCGGAGCAGUAAGACAGUGUGCAUGUUGUCGUCAGCUCGUGUCGUGAGAUGUUGGUUAAGUCCCGCAACGAGCGCAACCUUGUUCUUAGUAGCCAGCAGGUAAAGCUGGGCACUCUAGGAAGACUGCCGGAGACAAUCCGGAGGAAGGUGGGGAUGACGUCAAAUCAUCAUGCCCCUUAUGAUUUGGGCUACACACGUGCUACAAUGGCGUAAACAAAGGGAGGCAGAGUCGUGAGGCCGAGCAAAUCCCAAAAAUAACGUCUCAGUUCGGAUUGUAGUCUGCAACUCGACUACAUGAAGCUGGAAUCGCUAGUAAUCGCGAAUCAGAAUGUCGCGGUGAAUACGUUCCCGGGUCUUGUACACACCGCCCGUCACACCAUGGGAGUCGGUAACGCCCGAAGUGCGUGACUCAACCGCAAGGAGAGAGCGCCCGAAGGCGGGACUGAUAACUGGGGUG